GACUCCGUAGCUCAGUUGGUAGAGCAAUUGACUCUUAAUCAAUGGGUCGAGAGUUCGAGCCUCUCCGGGGUUA
rnacentral:tRNA from 1 species